rnacentral:rRNA from 1 species
CCUACGGGCGGCAGCAGUGAGGAAUAUUGGUCAAUGGCCGAGAGGCUGAACCAGCCAAGUCGCGUGAGGGAAGACGGCCCUACGGGUUGUAAACUGCUUUUAUACGGGAAUAACGCGCCUUACGUGUAGGGCUUUGCAUGUACCGUAUGAAUAAGGACCGGCUAAUUCCGUGCCAGCAGCCCCGGUAAUACGGAAGGUCCGGGCGUUAUCCGGAUUUAUUGGGUUUAAAGGGAGCGUAGGCCGCAUGUCAAGCGUGCUGUGAAAUGUCCGGGCUCAACCCGGGCCUUGCAGCGCGAACUGGCGUGCUUGAGUCCGCGGAAAGCAGGCGGAAUUCGUCGUGUAGCGGUGAAAUGCUUAGAUAUGACGAAGAACCCCGAUUGCGAAGGCAGCUUGCUGCAGCGGAACUGACGCUGAUGCUCGAAAGCGCGGGUAUCGAACAGGAUUAGAUACCCGAGUAGUC